rnacentral:rRNA from 1 species
CCCUUAGACGUUCUGGGCCGCACGCGCGCUACACUGACCAGUGCAACAAGCAUCCGUCCUUGGCCGACAGGCCCGGGCAAUCUUUGAACGCUGGUCGUGAUGGGGAUAGACUUUUGCAAUUUUUGGUCUUCAACGAGGAAUUCCUAGUAAACGCAAGUCAUCAACUCGCAUUGAUUACGUCCCUGCCCUUUGUACACACCGCCCGUCGCACCUACCGAUUGAAUGGUCCGGUGAAGCCUCCGGAUUGGCGCGCACCUCGGUGCCGCCGAGAAGUUGGCUAAACCUUACCAUUUAGAGGAAGGUGAAGUCGUANCA